UCUGUACCAGAGGCUGGGUCAGUUGGCCUUGCGUCAUUUGGAUGGUGGUAGUUGGACCGCUGGGUCUCCUUUAGUUGGAUAGCGGCAGUUGGACUGCCGGGUCGUCAUGCGUCAUUGCAACUGGGUCCCCUCUGUACCAGAGGCUGGGUCCAUUGAUAUUGUACUAUUUGGAUAGCGGCGGUUAGACUGCCAGGUCCCCAUCUCUUGCUUUGUCACUGGGUCCCCUCUGUACCAGAGGCUGGGUCAGUUGGCCUUGCGUCAUUUGGAUGGUGGUAGUUGGACCGCUGGGUCUCCUUUGGUUGGAUAGCGGCAGUUGGACUGCCGGGUCGCCAUGCGUCAUUGCAACUGGGUCCCCUCUGUACCAGAGGUUGGGCCCACUGGCGUUUUCCCCUCUCUUUUAGCCACACUAAGGCCUGACUAGGUUGGUUAGUUCCCUGGGAUUCCCUGCAGUGGGGGAACCCAUGAUUUGAAUCGGUUUGUCGUCGAGGCGCCGACACAAAAGGUGGGGGUAAAUGUGACAGAUUGGUCUACACCCCUCAAUCUGACUGAUUUUGGUCCUUUGUCUGUGAUUGGCUGGCCCAUUACUGGCAGGACUUUUAUGUUGAUAAAUGUAGUUUUUGGACGUGACGUGGGUCUCUCUUUCCGCCCCGCUGUUGUUUUGCCGGCAGAGGACGCCGGCUGGCGUGUGAGCUGCUGCUAGCCGUGAUCAUUAUCCGGUAGAUUUGGUACCUUCAGCCAUUCUUGCGUGGAACUGCACUCUGCUGUGAACUGGCGUUCACUUCGCGCUGCCUAUACUGCACCGGUGUGUACCUCUGGUUGGUGUGUUGCCCCAUCAUCUGUGCCCUGUGGCAGGCCUGAUUUGUGGUGCCUAUGCCGGUCUUGGAGUAGCCACAGUGGUUGGCACCUGGGUUCCUGACUGCAGUCAGUGGAUGUGUGUGGUCCAAAUUGCGAUUGUUCCGAACCACGGAUCCAUGAUCGGGUUAGCGGUGCCUCUCUGACGCCGUGGGAUUGCUGGCUACACUCCUCGGAGGUUGCUGUUUUGUUGCCACCACACUCUGCGCCGGUUCCGACUGGCUCCACCUGCUCUGUCCUGCUUUUGUUUGGUUUUAUUAUUUUUAUUUUCUGGCCCGUUUCUUGGGACGCCAGCCUCCUCGCUGCGCACUGCGCAGGUCUAGUUACCUGUGUGUGUUGUGAGUGCGUGUGUGUCUGUGCGUCUGUAUGCGUGUGUGAUUGUCAUCUAGGCACGGCACCGGAGGCAAGUGUACACCCCCUUCAGUCAACCUACAGCGGUGUAGUUCUCCCCUCUCUCUUGCUAUACAAAAGUUAAGUUGCAUCUAGUCAUCACUGUGUAUGCAAAUUGUGUAAUACAUUAGUACGUGUCAUUCUCGCCAUUGAGUGUCUCUCUCUUCUCUCCUCCCUGGAUAGGUAUGGAGUUGCCAUAGCGCGCCGGUCUUCGGGUGGUGGAUUCCCUCACUUUUCCAUUGCUGUGUGCACUUGGGUGACUAUUACUAUUUUGCUGCGUGUAGUAGUAGAUGUGUGUUUUCUUUUUAUUUUGUGUGAGUACUUUAUUGUGUGUGUUUAUUUUGUGUGACCUUUUCCCUAGUCUUUAACUAUCCCUUUUCAACCGUGCUGCUAUUGGUUAGCCUAAGCCUAGCCCCCUCUCCAUUUAAGAGUGACACCAUUGCCCUGUCUCCCCCGUAUUGGGGCGUUGCUUAUGACUGAGUGUAGCCUCCCUUCUCUCUCGCACAGGUGCCGUGCGUGUGUAUGUGUGCGUGGUGCGUGUGUGUGGCCAUUGGCCAUAUUGCUCCAUAUAACGACCCGUCUGUGGGUGUCUAAUAGGGAAUUUGUGCAAUAUUGUCUUUAAUACAAUUCAUCCAUAUUGUAUUUUGUAACGUAUUACUACUUGUCCCUCUGCAUCACCACUGCAUAAUUGCACAUUUGUAUCCACCUGAUUACUGACCAGCCGACUAUUGUAUUUGUAAUGUAAAGAGAAUAAACACUUGACUCAUGCCUGAGAGUGCUCCGAACCUGUGUCCUGGUUUACUAAUUUGGGGGGUAAUUUCACUCCUAGGUUGUCUUCCCCCACCCUAGGUGGCGUAGUCGUGCAAGAGCUG